rnacentral:rRNA from 1 species
GAUGAACGCUGGCGGCGUGCCUAAUACAUGCAAGUCGAGCGAAGCGGGGACGGGUGAGUAACACGUGGAUAACCUCCUAUAAGACUGGGAUAACUUUGGGAAACCGUAGCUAAACCGGCUACUUAUAGAUGGAUCCGCGCUGCAUUGGCUAGUUGGUACGGUAACGGCUUACCAAGGCAACGUUGCAUAGCCGACCUGAGAGGGUGAUCGGCAACACUGGGACUGAGACACGGUCCAGACUCCUACGGGAGGCAGCAGUAGGGAAUCUUCCGCAAUGGGCGAAAGCCUGACGGAGCAACACCGCGUGAGUGAUGAAGGUCUUCGGAUCGUAAAACUCUGUUAUUAGGGAAGCGGUAUCUAACCAGGAAGCCACGGCUAACUACGUGCCAGCAGCCGCGGUAAUUC